rnacentral:rRNA from 1 species
CAAAGGCUUGGUCCUAGCUUUACUAUUAUUUACUACCAAACUUACACAUGCAAGCAUCCGCACCCCCGUGAGAAUGCCCUUAACCCUCUUAUGAGAUCAAGGAGCUGGUAUCAGGCGCAUAUAAUUGCCCACAACACCUUGCUUAGCCACACCCCCAAGGGAAUUCAGCAGUGAUAAACAUUAAGCCAUAAGUGUAAACUUGACUUAGUUAAGGUUUUUAGAGCCGGUAAAACUCGUGCCAGCCACCGCGGUUAUACGAGAGGCUCAAGAUAAUAGAAAUCGGCGUAAAGAGUGGUUAAGUAUUAAAUAACUAAAGUUAAACAUCUUCCAGGCUGUUAUACGCACCCGAAGAUAUGAAGCUCAUUUACGAAAGUGACUUUAUAUAACUGAACCCACGAAAGCUAUGAAACAAACUGGGAUUAGAUACCCCACUAUG